AUGAACGCUGGCGGCGUGCUUAACACAUGCAAGUCGAACGAUUAAAGCUCACUUCGGUGAGUGUAUAGAGUGGCGAACGGGUGAGUAACACGUGGGAAACCUGCCCCUUUCUUCGGGAUAACUUCGGGAAACCGUUGCUAAUACCGGAUACUCCGGGAUGGUCGCAUGGCCGACCCGGGAAAGCUUUAUGUGGAAAGGGAUGGUCCCGCGGCCCAUUAGUUUGUUGGUGGGGUAAUGGCCUACCAAGGCGAUGAUGGGUAGCCG
rnacentral:rRNA from 1 species